rnacentral:rRNA from 1 species
UACGGAGGAUGCAAGCGUUAUCCGGAAUGAUUGGGCGUAAAGCGUCUGUAGGUGGCUUUUUAAGUCUGCCGUCAAAUCCCAGGGCUUAACCCUGGACAGGCGGUGGAAACUACCAAGCUGGAGUACGGUAGGGGCAGAGGGAAUUUCCGGUGGAGCGGUGAAAUGCGUAGAGAUCAGGAAGAACACCGGUGGCGAAAGCGCUCUGCUAGGCCGCAACUGACACUCAGGGACGAAAGCUAGGGGAGCGAAUGGG